rnacentral:lncRNA from 1 species
AAUGGCUACUCACCGGAGCAGUGGGAGCUAGGGAUGGCCGUCGGCGAUCGGGCGGCGGGCGCUCCGGCCGGAGAUGGGAGCAGCCGGUCGGAGAAGUCCGGGGGAGGUGCUGGCCGGCGGCGGGCGGCAGCCGGUGGCGUGGCGGCGGAGAUCCACUCCGCCCACUCCUCCUCGGGUUCGGGGCUGCCGGCGGCGAGGCGGCGGCCGGGGGAGCUCGGGACGGCGAUGAUUCGGUGUCGGAGGCCGAGGGGAAGGUGAUG